AACAGAGGUGGAUGAGUAGCAUGGUAAUGAAGAGAUGGACCGUCUUUAUUAGCACGCUCAGUGAAAAGGCAAUUGAACAAAAGAAAAACAUGCUUUCCAGUGCUUUCCACUUCCAUUGUGAUGCAGAGUAAAAUAUUCUACCAUCACUACACUGAGCAGUAGGGAAUCCUGGACUUGAAAGAGGAUGUUUUCCUGACUUGUAAGAUCCAACACAAUAUUGAUAUAGAGUCAGUAUAGUCACAUAUUGUACUUCUGUUUAUAAAUAAAAGUUGACUGU